rnacentral:lncRNA from 1 species
AUAAACCAAGAUAGAUUAAAAAUUAGAAUUAAAAAAAUAAAAACUAACAUAAAAGAAGUCUGUUGCACUACCAAAUAAAUGGUGGAGAAAACAAAAAAUUAAAACCCAGCCGCAUGGCUGUUGGGUUUUCAAAAGAGAAAAGGAUUGGGAAUGCACAAUAAUACAUUAAUGUACACCCUUUUUAAUAAAACAAAGGAAAACU